CAUUACAGAAAGUAAACGCGGAUCAAACCGCGAACUUCUAAACCUUUGACGAUUGACUCAUGUUGCCUCGGCGGGUUCUCCCGCCAGAGGAUACGUCAAAACUCCUGUUUUAACGGUGUUGUCUGAGCUACAAGCAACGAAUCAAAACUUUCAACAACGGAUCUCUUGGUUCUGGCAUCGAUGAAGAACGCAGCGAAAUGCGAUAAGUAGUGUGAAUUGCAGAAUUCAGUGAAUCAUCGAAUCUUUGAACGCACAUUGCGCCCCUUGGUAUCCCGAGGGGCAUGCCUGUUCGAGCGUCAUUUCACCACUCAAGCCUGGCUUGGUGUUGGGCGACGUCCCCUUUGGGGACGCGCCUCGAAACGCUCGGCGGCGUGGCACCGGCUUUAAGCGUAGCAAAAUCUUUCGCUUUCAAAGUCGGGGCCCCGUCUGCCGGAAGACCUACUCGCAAGGU
rnacentral:rRNA from 1 species